UGCUGCUUCGCUGACGAGUGGCGGACGGGUGAGUAAUGUCUGGGAAACUGCCUGAUGGAGGGGGAUAACUACUGGAAACGGUAGCUAAUACCGCAUAACGUCGCAAGACCAAAGAGGGGGACCUUCGGGCCUCUUGCCAUCGGAUGUGCCCAGAUGGGAUUAGCUAGUAGGUGGGGUAACGGCUCACCUAGGCGACGAUCCCUAGCUGGUCUGAGAGGAUGACCAGCCACACUGGAACUGAGACACGGUCCAGACUCCUACGGGAGGCAGCAGUGGGGAAUAUUGCACAAUGGGCGCAAGCCUGAUGCAGCCAUGCCGCGUGUAUGAAGAAGGCCUUCGGGUUGUAAAGUACUUUCAGCGGGGAGGAAGGGAGUAAAGUUAAUACCUUUGCUCAUUGACGUUACCCGCAGAAGAAGCACCGGCUAACUCCGUGCCAGCAGCCGCGGUAAUACGGAGGGUGCAAGCGUUUAAUCGGAAUUACUGGGCGUAAAGCGCACGCAGGCGGGUUUGUUAAGUCAGAUUGUGAAAU
rnacentral:rRNA from 1 species